rnacentral:lncRNA from 1 species
UCUUACGUAUACGUAAGCUCCCGAAGGGAGCUAGAGAGGAAACUCUUUUCGCGCGUUCUUUUCUCCCAUAGGUUUUGUACACAGCCAACAUGGCUGCCGGCGGACAAUUUGAAGGUUGAUUUUGGAGGGUCAAUGUUUAAUUCAUGAAAUGACGUCAAAUUACGCAAAAUACACUUCCAUGAUUGGCUAAGACGCUAAUGUUUUAUUCAUAUCUUAUGAAUUAAACACGUUUUUCCUUCCCACAAUUCCCCACGAGAUCUGUGCGAAGUGUUGUUCUUUUGGAUUGUGCGAAUUUCCAGUUUCUACAACGAAAUAGCUCGACUAAUCAUCUGUUUAUAGAAUUGAUGUUCGAAAUCGUGAUUUUUGAGUGAACUUCAUUGGAGCAGAAAAUCUUGGAGGGAACAUCAAUAAUAAUCUACUGACAUUCCAUGAGAAUAAAAAUCCAAUAGGACCAAGAUUUUAGCAGUUCACACCCAGUCAGAGGUACAAAAUUGAGAGCCAUGCAGAUCAGCAAGUGUGGGUUUCACUCUAAUGAGGAACAGGAUAUCUGAAUUGGAAAAUUCCAAGGUUUCCCACUGCCCAAGAUGUUUAAGUACUGGUAUCACAACAAGUACCAAGAUGGAAUAUAUAUGAAGGCCAAGCUAAUAAGUAGUUACUUCAAAUUAAUUUGAAUAGAUAUAUCAACAAAGCACUGAAUGUUCUUUAAACUGCACAUCUGUAGAAAAGAGUUCAGGUUCAUCAGCGGGCAAUGACAUUAAAGUAUACAAAAUUUCACUCAAAAUACAAGAAAGAAAUUUUUUUUUUCGAAGGGCAAAUGUAUCACCUUUUAUUAAUUAAAAUUUCUACUAGUUCUUAGAAGUUUUUGUGAAAUUAAAUAUAAUUUCCAGUUUAAAGGACUAUUGUAUACAAGACAAAAAUUUAUAUUUUGAAAUAAAAAUCAUGCGUAGAUAAAUGUUAAUACAGGUGAUCAGAGGAUUAAAAAAUAAUUUUAGUAUCACUCAUUCCAUAAACAAGUUAUUACUAUUGUAAUCUUGUCACUAUGACAAUUACCAUGGUAACAGGGCUGAGCAAAAAAUCAAGGUCUUUAUGGUAGCUGCAAUGGGCUUGGACAAAGUUACCAUAAUUGCAAGUCGUCAUAUAAUGGCUCAAUAAUUAUGUAGGGAUAUUAAAUUGCAUUUAUUGCUAUCUUACUCAAAGUUUUGAAAUGGGUUUCCUCUGCA